GGAAGGGAGGGCACGGCCGGAGCGCAGAGCCCCGCAGAGCGGGCAGGCUCUGCCGGGCCGGCCCGCGGCGGAGCCGGAGCACGGGGAGCGGAGGAGGGCUGACAGCGAGGAGCAGCCAGCAGGGAUCAGAAAGCACACACGGCACCGCACACACAGGGAAAGACCUGCUCGCACGAAACAGCUGAGCUCAAUGUGAUUCCUUCAAGCCGACUGCCAACAUUAAGGAUCAGCUGCCCAUAACCCAAGGUUAAAGGAAAAUGGACUCUAGGAAACAUUCUGGAAUCCAGCCAGCAAAACUACAAGCAUCACCUGUGACUCCGGCUGCUGCACGGGGAGGAUACCCCCAGAAAUUCACUAGAACUGAAGAAUACCUGAGAACCCAACGACUUAAGGAAAGAAAAAAGAAAACAUCACUCUACCAGGCAAAAUGAAAAAUGCAAAAUACACAUAUCCACUAAGGGGGCUCCCUUUCCAACACGCUCAUAAAGCCACACGGGCUGCAGGCACAGCCCUGCCCUACCCACUCCCGCAAGCCUCCCCGGGUGCCCCGCACAGCACAGCGAGCCUGGCCAGAGCUCCCCCAGCCCCAGCUGGGUGCCCUUUCCAGGAAGGGAGAGAAGUAAAUCUGUGUUUCCUAUGGAGCACAGGAUGAACCUUUCUGCUCGUAGGAGCUCUUACUGUUUCCAUAGUGAAUAUCAUUUACAUGAUGGGAUUAUAAAGGUUCCCACAUGAAAAUGCAUCUAUGGCAUGACUACAUUCUUUCAAGUUACUUUUCCUCCCACUUGCUAUAGUUCCUAGGUGAAAGGAAAAUAUUGACAAAAACAGGACAUGAGGGGGACAAAAGAUAACCACAGACUGAAAAACAUGAAACUGUCAAGCCAUUUACAAUUCUUUUUUUUAAACUUUAACUCCUCACGGCAACUGGGCAGCCUGAGAUCAACUACAGAGGGUAAAACACUUUAAUUUAUAGCCUAAGGCUUCUUCCACGUUUAAGAGGAAGGAGCAUGUAAAGAAAUACAAUAUCUUUCUCAGCCCGUCUGUUCUCUGAAAUGUCUUCAUUAAAAUGGAGAUUUUGACUUUUUGACUGUGAAUAACAGAAAAAGGACAAACCUGGUUUCCAAGGAUCUUCAUCUGCAGACAGCACACACAAAGCUCCCCCUUCACUCUCAAAGAUCGCACUCAUGUCUCACAGACAGGUUUUCAGGGGAAGGGCAGAUGGGACCACCUCCAGCUCAUGAUGAUUAGCUAAAUUAGUUCUAAUUACACCUUCAUUUUAUCAUGAAGCAACUGAAAGAAUAAAACUGAGAAUGUGCACCUGCAGGACAGAAGGACUCAUACUUUCCUAGACCCAAGUGGCAGCCAUGGCAGAAACCACCACUGCACCCAGGACGUCAAUGCCCAUGCCACCAGAGAGCUACAAGUCACAAACCUACAACAAAAGAUACCAUCGUUUUCCACAGUUCAAAAUGAAUGCAAUGUGAAGCCAACCUAAGAACCUACAGGAGUUUGUUUAAAAUAGAAAAUGUUAUUCUUCUUCUGAACACAAACCUACAAAGUUCCAGAAUUUUGCACUAGAUACAACAUGCAUGGGCUACUGGUCACAGAUGAAGCCAUAUGCUGCUACCAUGAUAACAAAAAUAAUGAAGUUUUGAGUAUUAAUUUUAAAGAAGAUUUGAGGUCCCAGUUAUUUUGCAGUAAACCACAAAAAAAUCCACAUUUAAAUCCAUGGGUGACUUCUCCUAGCACAUUUUCAGAAGUGGAAUAUAUGUCAAAAGAAACAUGUACAUCUUUUCUCUGGUGAUCAAUAACAAUUUAAAACAGAUGGGUAGAGAAUCUUUCUAUAGAAACUCUUACCCAUAGAAUUAAUCCAAAGCAUCCAGGAAAUGUGUCUUACAAAUGUAACCAAUACUACCACUGCGUGUCUGCAAUGUACUGUAAGUUUCUUAUACAACAAGAAUUGCCAUCUAUAUAGAUGGCAAUUUUCUUGAUUUGGAAUUACCUUAUUCUAAUUUUGGCACAGGAAAUCAGGUAAGGGAAGGUAUUUUGUUUAUUUAAACACUCAUUAUUUCAGUAUUUAUUGAAUUAUAGCUCAAGAUACCAUCUUAAAAUACGUGGCUGUUUCAUCACACUCUGUCAUGCAAACUGCUGUGCUACUCAAUGCAGUUAUUCAUAAAUGACUAUAUAACCUAAUGCAUUUUGUUCAAUUAGUCCCCAUAAGUGUUUUUUAUUGACAAAACAUAAUUUAGUUUUAUUAAAUGUGACUGGAACAUUGCUUCUGCCAAGUAAGUGAGUAUUAAUCUCUCACUUUUUUGUUUUUUUGAAAAACAGAUGGAAAAUUUUAAGAAUUAAGGAACAGCUUGAAUGUCACUUACAUGAAAAUUGUACAAGUAUGACAUUAUUGUCACUUUUGUUGCUUGCAGUAAUUUUAAAAAUUAUCUAAGUUACUUAUCACCAUAAAAACCUGGCACUAGUGAAAGAGAAAAUGUGUUACGCUACAGCUAAAACAAAAAAAUUACAUGAUUUUAUUCAAGUAGGCUCUUCCAAUGUAGCAUGUAAAUUACCAUUGUUCUACCUUCAAAAUACAAGGCUGUUAAAAAUAUAUCUUAAUUGCAGCUGCAUUAUCCUCACACCAGAACUAAAGUUACAUUCACGUCUGGAUUUUCAUGUUGUACGGCAGCCUCCACUGAGUGGAACUUCUGAAACUUCCCUUCCUCACCAGGAAAGAAAAGGACAGACUGUGUAAAGAAAGAUUAUGUCCUUGCCUCUCCACAAUUCCUCGACAAGAUUAAAUUAACAAACCUCUCUUUCUUCGUCACGACUUACACAUCAGUAUUUUCCCAUGCAAAAAGGAUGGUACAACUUUUCAACUCCUAGCACCUACCAAAACCUCCAGGAAAGACAGAAUUUAUAUAUUUUCUGUAAAUCUUACCGUUAUAAUCCUAUUGGGGUGUAAUUGCUGUGGCUAAUAUUCUUACCAUUAUGAAAAUGCUCAGCAUAAACGUGGCACUGAGUUGUUAAGAUAAUACAUGAUCAUGCUGUGAGAGGGUAAUACCUAUACAAUAGCCCUUGCCAAUACCAUAAAUCUCUUUAUUAGACAACAACCUAUUACAGGAGAUCUACUUAACUGUUUCCCUACUUAGAGGGCCAUUUGGUGUUACAAUAACAAGCUGACUUUUCACAUUAGAAAGGAUUAGCCAGUAUAAAUAAUAAAUUGAGACAGAGUUACUACUCUUUUAGAUAUGGUAAAUCUUCCCCGAUGUUUAAAAAGAGAAUCCAAACUAAACCCCUAAGACCAUGUUAGGCUGAAUGUAUAUUAAUUUUAAAGUUCUCUUCCUUUAAACUAACAAAAAAGAAAAAAAUCAACUCUGACUAAUUUGUGUCACAGAUUUAUUACAGGAGAGCAUAUUAAAGAAAUGUUUCUGUUUUAUGGAAUGUGCAUACCUACUGCUUUAUUUCCUAACAAUAUCACAGCAAAUCAUCUUUAAGUUUACUGAAAUAUUUUAAAGUAAAAUGAUUGCCACCAUUUUUCCAGAGAUAAGUACAGAAUAAAUCUAAGUACCAUCUAUUACGCUUCUUACUCAGCAAGUGAAACUGUAUUAUAUAUUAAUUAUUUUUUUCUUUGAACUCUUAACUUUUUGAAGGAUCACACACUUUCACUAUCCAGAUAACUAAAAUACAAAUUAUGAAGCCUGCAAUACACCAGAUGACUUUUUCAUUGUGCUAAAUUAAGGAAAAAUCACUACCUAAAGUACAUAUUUCUGAUUCUUCA